CACGAGGGUCUCACUGUCUUAAGGAAAUGUCCAGUGAAAUUGAAUUUGUAGUGAAGAUGCUACAUCCAAAUUGUUAGACAAGAAGUCCCCAUGGAACUUUACUGGAAACUUAUGUGGCUUAAAUUAAUUUAUUUCUUACAAAUAAAUAGUUUUUAAAUGUGGUGUUAACCUCUCGGAUUAACGAGGGUUAGAAAAGCUCACUCUUUUAUUUUAAGAAAGCCAACUCAAAAUUUUUAUGUCUUUGGGAUUUGAUAAGUGGGACAGUUUGGUUGGGGCGACCGCCUUUAAAAAAGUAACGAAGGCGGGCUUAAGAUAUAUUUUUAGUUAUGUCUGACUGCCAAGGGGGAAUCCUGAGCAGGCACUUACUUUUUAGGUGGGUUUAAGUGACCCGUUAAUUUAGGGUGAAAUAGUUAACGAUAAGCA
rnacentral:rRNA from 1 species